AUUGUAUUGAAUAGCAUGUAAAGAACUAAAUCAUUAUUUAACAAUAUACUAAUAUAAGUCCAAAACGUCACCACAAUCCUUGAAUCACAAUCUACAAAUACAAAUUUUUAUAUUAGAAAAAAAAACCACUUACUUACAAAGGCAUAUUUAUAUUUACAAAAAAUAAAAUCUGAACGCAACUAACGAACUUGCUUUGGUGUUUCCUCGACCAUUGAUAAGAAAUGUUAUUCUCGGUAUUAAUUUUGUACUUUUAAUAUAUCGUCCAAAAUUGCAUGCUGAUUUCUAUUUGUUUUUUCAUUUGUAUUAUAGUGUAGACUGUUAGCUGUCUCAUUGACAUUUAAUACACGUCUUCCUCCUUCGACUUAGAAAUGAACUAUAGACAGUUGAUCCGUGAAUACAAAAAGAAAACCACAACUACAUCGUUUAAAUACUCAUUGAUCGUCAUUCCUAUGUACAGAAAGUUACCUUCAAAUGUUAAAUUACUUUUUUUAUUCAUUCAGUCAAAAAAUUUUAAAAUGUUUCGGCAAAAACUGUCAAUUUAUUUUUUAUUUGUAAACCUAAG
rnacentral:lncRNA from 1 species